AGCAGCAGGCGCGUAAAACUUUACAAUGUCGGGAAACCGUGAUAAGGGAACUCCGAGUGUCCGUAAAUGCGGACUGUCCGUAUGUUUAAAAAGCAUGCGAAGAGAGGGCCGGGCAAGACCGGUGCCAGCCGCCGCGGUAAUACCGGCGGCUCGAGUGGUGGCCACUAUUACUGGGCUUAAAGCGUUCGUAGCUGGGUUGUUUAGUCUCUUGGGAAAUCUACCGGCUUAACCGAUAGGCGUCCAAGGGAUACUGGCAAUCUAGGGACCGGGAGAGGUGAGGGGUACUUCAGGGGUAGGAGUGAAAUCCUGUAAUCCUUGGGGGACCACCUGUGGCGUAGGCGCCUCACCAGAACGGCUCCGACAGUGAGGGACGAAAGCUGGGGGAGCAAACCGGAUUAGAUACCCGGGUAGUCCCAGCCGUAAACGAUGCGCGUUAGGUGUAUCGAUGACCACGAGUCAUCGAGGUGCCGAAGGGAAACCGUGAAACGCGCCGCCUGGGAAGUACGGUCGCAAGGCUGAAACUUAAAGGAAUUGGCGGGGGA
rnacentral:rRNA from 1 species